GCCUACCCAUGCAAGUUCGAACGAAGCCUUUCGGGCUUCGUGGCGCACGGGUGCGUAACGCGUGGGAAUCUGCCCUUGGGUUCGGAAUAACAGUUAGAAACGACUCGCUAAUACCGGAUGAUGUCUUCGGACCAAAGAUUUAUCGCCCAAGGAUGAGCCCGCGUCGGAUUAGCUAGUUGGUGAGGUAAAGGCUCACCAAGGCGACGAUCCGUAGCUGGUCUGAGAGGAUGAUCAGCCACACUGGGACUGAGACACGGCCCAGACUCCUACGGGAGGCAGCAGUGGGGAAUAUUGGACAAUGGGCGAAAGCCUGAUCCAGCAAUGCCGCGUGAGUGAUGAAGGCCUUAGGGUUGUAAAGCUCUUUUACCCGGGAUGAUAAUGACAGUACCUGGUAAAGAAACCCCGGCUAACUCCGUGCCAGCAGCCGCGGUAAUACGGAGGGGGUUAGCGUUGUUCGGAAUUACUGGGCGUAAAGCGCGCGUAGGCGGGUUGUUAAGUUAGAGGUGAAAUCCCGGGGCUCAACCCCGGAACUGCCUUUAAUACUGGCAACCUAGAGUUCGAGAGAGGUGAGUGGAAUUCCGAGUGUAGAGGUGAAAUUCGUAGAUAUUCGGAGGAACACCAGUGGCGAAGGCGGCUCACUGGCUCGAUACUGACGCUGAGGUGCGAAAGUGUGGGGAGCAAACAGGAUUAGAUACCCUGGUAGUCCACACCGUAAACGAUGAAUGCCAGUCGUCGGGUAGCAU
rnacentral:rRNA from 1 species